UAAAGAUAGUAAAGUGGCGCACGGGUGAGUAACGCGUGGGUAAUCUACCUCUGAAUUUGGGAUAACUUCGCGAAAGCGGGGCUAAUACCGGAUAAUAUUUCAUGAUCUUCGGGUUUUGAAAUCAAAAGUGGCCUCUACAUGUAAGCUACUGUUUGGAGAUGAGCCCGCGUACCAUUAGCUUGUUGGUAGGGUAAUGGCCUACCAAGGCUACGAUGGUUAGCUGGUUUGAGAGGAUGAUCAGCCACACUGGAACUGACACACGGUCCAGACUCCUACGGGAGGCAGCAGUGAGGAAUUUUGCGCAAUGGGGGAAACCCUGACGCAGCAACGCCGCGUGAGUGAUGAAGGCUUUCGGGUCGUAAAGCUCUGUCAAGUGGGAAGAACAUGAGAAAUGUUAAUAUCAUUUUUUACUGACGGUACCAUAAAGGAAGCACCGCUAACU
rnacentral:rRNA from 1 species